UCUAGUUGCCAGCACGUAAAGGUGGGAACUCUGAAGAUACUGCCCCGGUUAACGGGGAGGAAGGUGGGGAUGACGUCAAGUCCUCAUGGCCCUUAUGCCCAGGGCUACACACGUGCUACAAUGGCAUAUACAAAGGGUCGCGAUACCGCGAGGUGGAGCCAAUCCCAUAAAGUAUGCCACAGUUCGGAUUGGAGUCUGCAACUCGACUCCAUGAAGUUGGAAUCGCUAGUAAUCGCAGAUCAGCAUGCUGCGGUGAAUACGUUCCCGGGCCUU
rnacentral:rRNA from 1 species